CCCUUUGGGGCCCCAUAGAAGGUGUUGCAUGGGUUUUUUCAGCUUUUGCCGUGAGGUUUUUGGUUAAAUUCCGCAAAGAGGGCAACCCCUGUGGUUUGUUUCCAGCGGGUAAUGUUGGGAACUUUAGGGAGACUGCCGGUGCAAAUCGGGAGGAAGGUGGGGAUGACGUCAAUUCAUCAUGGCCCUUAUGUCCAGGGUUACACACGUGUUACAAUGGUUGGAACAAAGGGCG
rnacentral:rRNA from 1 species